rnacentral:rRNA from 1 species
UACAGAGGUGACAAGCGUUGUUCGGAAUUACUGGGCGUAAAGGGCGCGUAGGCGGCCUACUAAGUCAGACGUGAAAUCCCUCGGCUUAACCGAGGAACUGCCUUCCAAACUGUUUGGCUUGAGUCCGGGAGAGGCGAGUGGAAUUCCCAGUGUAGCGGUGAAAUGCGUAGAUAUUGGGAGGAACACCAGUGGCGAAGGCGGCUCGCUGGACCGGAACUGACGCUGAGGCGCGAAAGCGUGGGGAGUAAACAGG